AAUUUUCGGGCGACAGCUGGCGGCGUGCCUAAUACAUGCAAGUCGAGCGGAACCUUUGGAGCUUGCUCCAUUGGUUUAGCGGCGGACGGGUGAGUAACACGUGGGCAACCUGCCCUGCAGAUCGGGAUAACUCCGGGAAACCGGUGCUAAUACCGAAUAGUUUUUUGCCCCUCCUGGGGCGAAACGGAAAGACGGUUUCGGCUGUCACUGCAGGAUGGGCCCGCGGCGCAUUAGCUAGUUGGUGGGGUAAUGGCCCACCAAGGCGACGAUGCGUAGCCGACCUGAGAGGGUGAUCGGCCACACUGGGACUGAGACACGGCCCAGACUCCUACGGGAGGCAGCAGUAGGGAAUCUUCCGCAAUGGACGCAAGUCUGACGGAGCAACGCCGCGUGAGUGACGAAGGUUUUCGGAUCGUAAAACUCUGUUGUGAGGGAAGAACAAGUACCAACUAACUACUGGUACCUUGACGGUACCUCACCAGAAAGCCACGGCUAACUACGUGCCAGCAGCCGCGGUAAUACGUAGGUGGCAAGCGUUGUCCGGAAUUAUUGGGCGUAAAGCGCGCGCAGGCGGUCCCUUAAGUCUGAUGUGAAAGCCCACGGCUCAACCGUGGAGGGUCAUUGGAAACUGGGGGACUUGAGUGCAGAAGAGGAAAGUGGAAUUCCACGUGUAGCGGUGAAAUGCGUAGAGAUGUGGAGGAACACCAGUGGCGAAGGCGACUUUUUGGUCUGUAACUGAC
rnacentral:rRNA from 1 species